GGUCUGUAGCAAUACAGAUGCUGGCGACCGGCAAACGGGUGCGGAACACGUACACAACCUUCCUUAAAGUGGGGGAUAGCCCGGGGAAACCCGGAUUAAUACCCCGUAACAUAAUGAAGUGGCAUCACUUUAUUAUUAUAGCUACGGCGCUUAAAGAUGGGUGUGCGGCUGAUUAGGCAGUUGGCGGGGUAACGGCCCACCAAACCUACGAUCAGUAACUGGUGUGAGAGCACGACCAGUCACACGGGCACUGAGACACGGGCCCGACUCCUACGGGAGGCAGCAGUAAGGAAUAUUGGUCAAUGGACGCAAGUCUGAACCAGCCAUGCCGCGUGGAGGAUGAAGGUCCUCUGGAUUGUAAACUUCUUUUAUCUGGGAAGAAACCCAAGAUUUUUAUUUUGGUUGACGGUACCAGAUGAAUAAGCACCGGCUAACUCCGUGCCAGCAGCCGCGGUAAUACGGAGGGUGCAAGCGUUAUCCGGAUUCACUGGGUUUAAAGGGUGCGUAGGUGGGUUGGUAAGUCAGUGGUGAAAUCUCCAGGCUCAACUUGGAAACUGCCAUUGAUACUAUUAAUCUUGAAUACCGUGGAGGUCAGCGGAAUAUGUCAUGUAGCGGUGAAAUGCUUAGAUAUGACAUAGAACACCAAUUGCGAAGGCAGCUGGCUACACGAAUAUUGACACUGAUGCACGAAAGCGUGGGGAUCAAACAGGAUUAGAUACCCUGGUAGUCCACGCCCUAAACGAUGGAUACUCGACAUACGCGAUAUACAGUGUGUGUCUGAGCGAAAGCAUUAAGUAUCCCACCUGGGAAGUAC
rnacentral:rRNA from 1 species